UAACAUUGAGUAUUUGAAAAUAUAUGAAAUAUUUUGUGAAUAUUUCCAAUAUAUUCCGUAUAUUUGUAUUUGCAGAUUUUAUUUGCAGAAUAAUAAUGAGUAUUAGAUUUAUAAAUAUUUGCAAAAAAUCUUUCUUGAAUAAUUGCAGUCAAAUAUAACAUAAAUAUAAAAUUAUCGAAUGAUAAAUUUCCAUUUAAAUGUUUGUGAAAUGUUUGGCGAAUAUUUUGGUAGAAAUAUAACGGUUUCGCUUCUUGACCGCUGUGGCGCUGCUGGCGCAGUUAUCGGCUUUGUUUUUGUUUCAAAGCAAUUAGGAUUGGGAGUCGCGAAUUUUGUAUUCCGUCAAAUUUAAACACUUUUCAAAGUGAAAAUGCAGCUCGACUCCGUCCAAAUCCACCUCUACUAUGAAAUUAAGCUCGAUUUAUGUAUGCAAAAACACGCCAGAGCGGUCUGUGAAAUUCGACGUGCAAGAGCAGCAAAAACCGGUCGCCUUUUUCACAAAUUAAACGGCCGGCGGCCGCGCGAUGCCCAAAGCUGAAGAUGGAUCAAGUUUGAAAUUACCCCGGCCGUUUCCCAGCCUUGCACAAUCAUCCUUGAAGGAAGAGCCUGGAAUUUUGCAAAUGUCGGGGUCGGACAACAGGAUCCAGAAUUUUCCAGGGAUCAUUGCGAGACUGGAAACAGAGCAGCGCGCCUCUGUUCUGAACUUAAUUUGUUUUGGACACAUCACAAAAUGCAAUUUGUGGACGUGCCGGAGUGGUGGCUUUUUGGAAUCUGGCAGUUACACACAAGAAAACGUCAGACUGUGGUUCGUCUAACAAUAAGUAAAAAAUAUAUAAAAUGCUAAUAUUAUUAUUUUUAUUAUUAAUAUUGAACUUGACUAAACCAAUUUCUACAUUUUGUAACAAAUUUCAUGGUUAUGAUACAAAAAUACCUUUGAUAAAUGAUAAAAUCUGGUACAAACUAAAUUUUGAAAUCUAAAUUUCAAAUUGAAUUGCGCCUUACUAAUAUUUGAAAAUGAGAAAUUUUACUCGAGCAAAUCACUGGUCUUUCUCUGCACACAAAGAAAAAAAAUGUUAUGCAGUGAAAAUUUAUUUAUCAUUAAAUUUUAAAAUUAGUCACUUGUAUUUAAAAUUCUGUCAUUGUACUGUACAGCAAUCAUAGUUUUUGGGCAAGUUUGUGCCUCGUCCACAAACGGCACAAACUCUUCAAGUUGUUUCAUUUAAGCAGCAUUUUGUAAUUAUAUGGAUUAGUCAAAAGAAUAAGUUGAAAUUUCAAUACACACAAAUAGGAAAAGCAGCCAAGCGGACAUAUUUUGGUUGGUAAAAAAUUAUUGCAUUAUUUUUUAGCAAUUUUUAGGACAUUCUUGUGAUUAUUUGAAAAAAAAGAUGAAUCAGCAGUUUUUAUUGUGAUCCUUUAAAUAAAAGGGCCCCUGAAGUCAACCUUUUUAUGGUUUUAACCUAUUCGAUUGAGCAGUCCGAACGAAACAUUUGCCUGGGGUGACCGAAAAUUUGGAGUUCGUAUCGGCUCUAUCGGCAAUUAAAAUAAAUGGGCGUCGGACUCUCU